GUACAAUCAAACCGAUGUAGGCUUAUUAAAUUCUUAAUGUAAAACUUGAAACAAUACACGAUAUUAAGAAUUAUUACUUAUAACUUUUAUUAUUGAAUGUACACAGACUCCUCUUGAAUGUAGAUAUAGGUAGAAACAUACAUAAAAUGUGAGUUAAAACAAGAGAUAACUCACUACAAAUACACGUCUUUUCAUUCUCAUUUCUCUUUCUUAUCUCCCCUUUCAACUUUCACCCAGUCCUUUUUACAAAGCUUUUAUCAACUCUGUCUGUCUGGUAAAAAAGGUUU